UACGUAGGGGGCAAGCGUUGUCCGGAUUUAUUGGGCGUAAAGAGCGUGUAGGCGGCCAUACAGGUCCGUUGUGAAAACUGGAGGCUUAACCUCCAGACGUCGAUGGAAACCGUAUGGCUAGAGUCCGGAAGAGGCGAGUGGAAUUCCAGGUGUAGCGGUGAAAUGCGUAGAUAUCUGGAGGAACACCGGUGGCGAAGGCGGCAUCCUGGACCAACACUGACGCUGAGUGAGCGAAAGCCAGGGGAGCAAACGGG
rnacentral:rRNA from 1 species